rnacentral:rRNA from 1 species
AGAGUUUGAUCCUGGCUCAGGACGAACGCUGGCGGCGUGCUUAACACAUGCAAGUCGAACGAAGAGCGAUGGAAGCUUGCUUCUAUCAAUCUUAGUGGCGAACGGGUGAGUAACGCGUAAUCAACCUGCCCUUCAGAGGGGGAUAACAGUUGGAAACGACUGCUAAUACCGCAUACGAUCUAACCUCGGCAUCGAGGAUAGAUGAAAGGUGGCCUCUACAUGUAAGCUAUCACUGAAGGAGGGGAUUGCGUCUGAUUAGCUAGUUGGAGGGGUAACGGCCCACCAAGGCGAUGAUCAGUAGCCGGUCUGAGAGGAUGAACGGCCACAUUGGGACUGAGACACGGCCCAGACUCCUACGGGAGGCAGCAGUGAGGAAUAUUGGACAAUGGUCGGAAGACUGAUCCAGCCAUGCCGCGUGCAGGAUGAAGGUCCUAUGGAUUGUAAACUGCUUUUGUAAGGGAAGAAUAAGGAGUACGUGUACUUUGAUGACGGUACCUUACGAAUAAGCAUCGGCUAACUCCGUGCCAGCAGCCGCGGUAAUACGGAGGAUGCGAGGCGUUAUCCGGAAUCAUUUGGGUUUAAAGGGUCCGUAGGCGGGCUGAUAAGUCAGAGGUGAAAGCGCUUAGCUCAACUAAGCAACUGCCUUUGAAACUGUCAGUCUUGAAUGAUUGUGAAGUAGUUGGAAUGUGUAGUGUAGCGGUGAAAUGCUUAGAUAUUACACAGAACACCGAUAGCGAAAGGCAUAUUACUAACAAUUUAUUGACGCUGAUGGACGAAAGCGUGGGGAGCGAACAGGAUUAGAUACCCUGGUAGUCCACGCUGUAAACGAUGGGAUACUAGCUGUUUGGAGCAAUCUGAGUGCCUAAGCGAAAGUGAUUAGUAUUCCCCCCUGGGGGAGAACGCACGCAAGUGUGAAACUCAAAGGAAUUGACGGGGGCCCGCACAAGCGGAGGGACAUGUGGUUUAAUUCGAUGAUACGCGAGGAACCUUACCCGGGAUUGAAAUGUAGAUGACCGCUCCUGAAAGGGAGUUUUCCUUCGGGACAUCUAUGUAGGUGCUGCAUGGUUGUCGUCAGCUCGUGCCGUGAGGUGUCGGCUUAAGUGCCAUAACGAGCGCAACCCCUGUCUACGGUUGCCAUCAGGUAAUGCUGGGAACUCCGUAGAGACUGCCGUCGUAAGGCGUGAGGAAGGUGGGGAUGACGUCAAAUCAGCACGGCCCUUACAUCCGGGGCGACACACGUGUUACAAUGGUAAGGACAAAGGGCAGCUACCUGGCGACAGGAUGCGAAUCUCUAAACCUUAUCACAGUUCGGAUCGGAGUCUGCAACUCGACUCCGUGAAGCUGGAUUCGCUAGUAAUCGCGCAUCAGCCAUGGCGCGGUGAAUACGUUCCCGGGCCUUGUACACACCGCCCGUCAAGCCAUGGGAGUCUGGAGUACCUAAAGUCCGUAACCGCAAGGGUCGGCCUAGGGUAAUACAGGUGACUGGGGCUAAGUCGUAACAAGGUAACC